UUGUCUUAUAAUGUAGUUGAUAGAGCUACGCAAGUAGAUACAAACUCCACCCCCAUUUCUUGACCUGUCUUUUCUAAUAAUAUCAUAAUCGUUCAGGUGAAUCAUACUAUUAGUUACACUUGGAUCGAGGCGUGUUUCAUUGAAAGCAAUAAGAUCAAUGAAUUUGUUUGACAUUGAAUACCUUAUUUCAUCAAUUUUUUUGGGCAGACUAACGAUGUUAAGAAAAGCCAUUUUAAAACCUUUUUCGUUUGGAAUGGAAUUUAG